rnacentral:lncRNA from 1 species
GUGCUAUGAGGACACCACCCACAUUUGUUUUCACCUGGGAUUUUUUUUGCGAUUUUUUCUAUGUGAUAUGACAGUCAUUUAUUCUUAUUAAAUUUGCUGACCAGAGGAGCAGGAAGUGUUUUUGGACCAAGAAGAUGAAGUUUGUUACCUGUUAAGACAGAAGGGUGAGGAAGUUAUUGCAACCAAAGGCUGAUAGCUUGAUGACACUUAUGGUUACAGUUUUGGGAUGGGGAAAUUGCAGGGGUUUGGACUAGAUGGCCCUUGGGAUCCCUUUCAGCCCUACAAUUCUGUGAUUCUGUGAAAUAUGGGAAAAAUUUUUUAUAGGGGUAGUGGCUUUACCAGUGUCUCCAUUCAAAGUCCACCAUGAGGUUUGACUUGAGUUCUGACGAGGGACAUCUUGAAUGUCAAUUCAAGCCCGUCUCCCGUUGCUUCUCAUAAAAUGGGAUUAGGUCUACCUCCUUCACACUGGUUUUAAAUGAUUCAUAUAUGCCCCGUGGAGCUUCAUUUAUUGGUGUCUGCUUCUUUUCACAACAGUGUGUGAUGUGUGGGUCAUGGGGAGGCACAAGGCACAAAUUCUCUGUUGCUCUGAAGGCAAAGCAACAGAGAAGGCUUGAAAUGGAGUGGACAGGGCUCUAGCAUCUGUAUCAGUCUUCCCCAAUGUGGUGCCCUGCAGACAUUCGACUCCAAUGAACCACUGUCAACAUAAUAAAUGGUCAGCAAUGAUGGGAAUUGUAGUCUAAAACAUCUGGAGGGUACUGAGUUGUGGAAGCCUGAUAAAUUGAUACCAAGGGGAACAUGCACACUGGAUGAUGGAAGAUGGUUAAAUAUAAAAAAUAGGAUCACACUGAAGGGGCCUUGUAGGCCAUCUAGUUUAGUCCUCUGUUUGAUAUAGGAGUUCCUGAGCUAAAACAUCUGCCAUGGAUGGCUUUCCAAUCUCUGCCUGAAGAUUUGUAUGUUUAUUUGCUCCAUUGUUAAACUGCUAAUACUGUACCAUCAACUGAAACUGCAGCCCAUUUAAUAGAGCUGUGCUUCGCCUUCUUCUAGGUGACAGCGUUUCAAGUAUGAGAAACCCAUCAAGUUGCAGAUCCCUUAAGAUAAGUUUCUGCCCUCUAUUGUAACCCAGAGUCUGGUGACUUAUCUCUUUAGCCAGGCUUAGGGACAUACAGUACAUAUUGCAUAGUUGUGCUUUCACUGUGUGCAUUUUGUAUUCUUCAGAUAAUGUAGCUGGUGUGCAUUGUUUGAAAGAAUGUAAUCAGUUACAAGUAUCUUAAGAUAUGAAAUUAUGGCAUUUUUCUUUAAUGGCUUCUGAUACAUAACAAGUAGUAAUAACUCAAAAACCUGGGCAUUAAGACUCACUUUUCAUGACUGCCAUCUUUUCCGCAUAACCAUGAGCAAACAGGUGAAUUAAAAGCAUGAGCAACAUGCUUCUGAUGUAGCAAAUCACUCUUUAUUUAAAAAUGCUUUAAAAAAGAAAAGAAAGCACCUUUUUAAAGCCUGUCAAAGACAGCAUGCAAAGAUAAAAAUAAAAGUGUCAGGACAAAAAAAACCCUCCUGUUCUUUUUUCUCCUUUCUUUUCCUCUGAAUUAAUUUGUGCAUCAGUCAAAAAUCUGUCAGUGCAUAUGCAAUAUAAGUGACACGACUUAAGCUACUAAAAGCAGGAGAAAAUAACAAAUAGAACUAAAUGCUGAGAAGAGAAAAGUGACAGCUAUUAUAUGUAUUCAGCUAUAACAAUACACUCCAAAACUGAUGAAGAAAUGGUGACAGAACUGCCAAUUAUAAUUGAGUGAAGUGUAAACAGAGAUGAUACAAAGUCUGCCAAGCAGAACUGCAAGCAGGUGGCGAUGCUCUUCUUUUGACACACCCAUCCAGUAGGUGUCAGAACCUGCACAAAGCUUGUGGAAUCCUAAUGCCUAACUAGAGCAAAUGGUGACUCAUUAACACCACAUAUGGUGGAAAGGCUAACUUUUCUGGAGCAAGGUUUGGAGUAGGUGAAAUCCUAAAGGGAUAAACCUGAGACAACAAAACAGGCUGGAUUUAUUGUGUUUCAGCUACUAAUACAUCCAAAUUCUAAAAGACGAACAGAGCUCACUCAGGAUCUUACUUCAAGGAUGAAAAUGUGAAUUAAUGACAUGUCUUUUUUAAAAAAGUCAGAGAAAUGGAAAACUUAUAUUGUGCCAAGAGGAUACCUAUUCCAACUCAAGUAGUGUAUUGCUUUAUGCCAUGGAUAAUAUAUACUUCAUUAGUAUAGAAGAAGAAGAAGACGACGAUGAAGAAGUCAGAAUUCUAUAGGCCCUCUGAAUAGGAAAUGUCCAAAUGUGCCACAAGGAAUUAAAAAGGUUUAUUUGGGCUUAUCCAUGGGAAAGUGCUGAGCUCACUUUUUGUGAGUGACUGGAGAAAGUGGCAAAGACCAUUUCUUUGUAUUGAUGCAAUAAGCAGCGUCCUAAUGUUUUCUCUUUGACUAAUGUGUCCUUCAAUUUUUACAAUGGACUGAAUGGAGAAGCAUUAAUAUGCUGUGAUUUCAACAUGCUGUGAAUGAUUUCCUGAGAUUGAAGGAUCCUCCUCCGGGUUUAUUGAUUUUGGAUGUGCAUUUCUUUCUUCAGCUACUUGGAAGGAGAAGGUCCACUCAGCAUCAUUAUAGAGAAGGAUUCUUUGGAGUUUAAAAAAAUGUGUCUUCUUUACCCAAGAUAAACUCAUGGAAGAGGAAAAACGCCUUGAUUAUAGAGAAGGUUCUUUAGAAAGAAUGGCUACAAUGGAAAGGGUUCAUUAAAUAUUGUUUACUGCAGUUGAUUAAGUUGUGAACUGAUAUCACAAUUUCAUGCUGCUUAUGCCAAUCUUUUUAAACUUGGUAGAAUUAUUAAUCUGCCAUUCUAAAUCUAUCUGUGAGAAUAUCAACAAACAUAUAGAUAGAUAGUAUCCUGUUGACACUGGGUGCUUAGACUUUCAAAAUGAUUUGGGUAAAGUAGCCCACCAAAGAUUCCUCUUAUUGGCCAGUCACUAGUUCCUCCAAGAUAAUGCAUGCUUUUUAACUUGUUCAUUAAUGAUCUAGAAUUCGGGGUGAGUGUGAGGUGACCUUAUUUGCUGAUAAUACCAAAUUGAUGAUCAAAACAAAGAGGGAUUGCAAGGAUUUUAUAAAGGAUCUGUUCAAAUGACAAAUGCAGUUCAAUAUAAACAUUUGUAAGGUGAUGGACACCAAAGCAAAAAAGGUCCUAAUUUCGCAUAUGCGCUAAUUGGUUCUGAACUGGCAGUGACUGACCAGGAACAAGACCUUGGAGAGCUAAAUGAAGGUUUGGCUCAGUGUUUGGCAACUGUGAAAAAGGCAAAUUCCAUUUUAGGGAUGAUUACACAAGGGAUUGAAAAUAAGACCACACUAGAUGGACCUUUGACCUAAUCCAGCACUUUCUCCUUAUGUUAUCUUUCUCUUCAUGUAGCAAAAUCUGGCCAUAGAAAAGAAAGUGCAAAAUAGGCAUCAUAUAUAACAGCCAGUUUUAGAUAUGGGGAAACGUUCUUCUUGACCCACACUUGGAGUUUAAAUUUAAUGUAUUCACUGUGAGAUUAAGGGAGAGAGGGUGGAUUGUAGCAUUUGAAAAACUCUAAUGAAGAGACUGGGUGGUCAUGUAGCACCUGAUCAAGCACUCCUUCAAUGGGGCAUCAUGACACACAAUGGUGUGUAUAUUUGUGUGUUGUUUUGUGGGUGGGUUUGUCAGUAACCUCCAUUAAAAAUUCAAUUUAUUCCUUCUUAAUAAUCUGUAGCAGUUUACCUUCAGGAACUGAUGGAAGGAAUAAGCAGGAAUUACUGAAUAGGAAUGUAAUAUGAUGAUAUAUGACCAUUUUCUUUUACAUUUCCCAAGAAACAUUGUGCAGGAAAGUUAUGUUAAUAGGCAUCAUCACCAUAAUUGGGAAUUUAAAUGCACAAAAGUCAGAAAAUUAGAAUGAAUGAUUCCCACAGCUAUAGUGAUUCCACGACUAAUAAAUGUGUGUCUGUCUGUUCUUGAAAAGAAUGAAUAGCACAUGCAUUUAACCAUUAAUAUUCUCAUUUUUGCAAAAACAGCAUGCUGCUAUUUGUUUCUAAGAAAGCAAAAAUCAGUGAAAGUACCAUAUUAUUACCCCUGACUCACCACUCAGGGUGGUGGUAGUGUAGUGGAGAAGACUGAUAUAUAAUCUGGCAAAUCCAUGGAGCAUUUCUUUAGUCAGAUAAUUAAGUUUUUAAAAUGCUUGGUAAUCUGCUAGACUAUUCAGAGUAAGACCAUCAUUUAACUAUGCAUUUUGUGAAGAAGUCUUUCUUUCUUUCUUUCUUUCUUUCUUUCUUUCUUUCUUUCUUUCUUUCUUGGAUCUCAUUCAGCCUCAUGGCUUUAGAACCCCAUGUUUUAUUAUUUAAAGGUAAAGGGACCCCUGACCAUUAGGUCCAGUCGAGACCGACUCUGGGGUUGCGGUGCUCAUCUCUCUGAAGGAGCAGGUCCAUAGCUUGGGGGUACUCCCAGAGUGCCUUCUAUCAGUUUUGGCUGGUGGCCCAGCUAUGCCCCUGUCUGGACAGGGAUAGCCUAACUACUGUUGUCUAUGCUCUGGCAACCUCAAGGUUAGAUUUCUGGAAUGCAUUAUACGUAGGGCUGCCUCUGAAGACGGUUCAGAAACUUCAGCUAGUGCAGAAUUCAGCGGCUCACUGGAGCAAGAUGGUUUGAUCAUAUUACACCAAUCCUGGUCCGACUGCACUGGCUACCACAAUACCUCAAGGACCACCUCUUUCAGUAUGAACCUACCUGGACUCUGAGAUCAUCUUUGAGGCCCUUCUUUGUGUGCUGCCUCCUCAAGCAGUCCAGUGGGUGACAGCACGAGAACGGGCCUUCUCUGCAGUCGCUCCCUGUCUGUGGAAUGCUCUCCCCAGGAAAGUUUGCCUGGCACCUACAUUAUACAUGUUUAGGCUCCAGGCAGAAACGUUCCUUUUAAACCAGGCCUUUGGUUGAUUUGAUUGACAUUCUAUGCCCUUUUAAAAUGUGGGGUGUUUUUUGGGGGGAUGGUAAUGAGUUGUUUUAUUUUGAUUAUAUAUUUGUGGUUUUUAUUUAUUUUUUUGUUCUGCGAACCGCCUUGAGACCUCCAGGUAUAGGGCAGUAUAUUAAUUAAUUAACCCUCAAGCAGGACUUAACUGCAGCAAUGCUCUCUCGACUUGUGAUUUCCAGCAGCUGGUAUUCAGGGGCAUACUGCCUCUGUUAAUGGAGGUAAGAAGAUACCUGUUGUAUUGAUAACUCUUCUCCUGUCCAUUAAACAGGAGAGAUUCUGGGACUGCUGUGGUCGCUUAGGACUUCACCUUCAGGGCCCUCCUAUGGGCUGGCUCUGUCCUGCCAGUGGGUCAAGUCUGACAUCUGCACUACUCAAAAUCCUCACAUGGUUUCCACGUGCAACCAAUUGACACCAUCAUAUCGAUAAAAGUCUACACAAGUCUGCAUAAAUGUAACAUGUGAAUUGGCCAAAGUUAUUGAUAUUUUGUAUCUCAUACCACAGCAUUCUGGCAUAUAUUGGGAAGAAAAAUGGAUUUAACAAAGUUGAUUUCUUUCUAUGGAUAAUUUGGGAUUGGGGCAAGCGUGGGGAGCUAAACUCAUCAGACACAUUAUUGCUGGCAAAUGAUUCACUCAGCAAAAAUGUUCACAUUAAUAAAUUAUAAAAUAUGCAUGAAGAGGAACAGCUAUGUUCCAGUGGGAACAAGAAUGUUGAAAGUUAUCUGAUCUACUUGCAGAAAUGUAUGCUGUUAUGAAUUUCAAUUUUCCAUCAGGGUUACCUUAAUGUAUAUGUUUUGCAUUAAGUCAGAAUGUAUUUAGGGUUGCCAUUAAUAUAGAUGGCAAAUAUAGAUGUUACAAAUAUAUAUUUAAUUAAAACUUUAGGUUGUUUAUGCAACAAAAAUAAAUGCUUUUCAAAUUAUUGUUAGUAUAUUGAGUUUGAAAUUUAUUGUGAAAAAAUGAACCGAUUCUGGCAAUUUUGUGUCCUAUUCUUUGCUGUGAAAUGGUUGGCACUUGUUUUGGAGACUUUUCUGACCAGGAGGUUCAAAAGGUAACAGAGGCCUCAAAAGCUCAACCCAGGAAACUUUAAGAAGAAAAUGAAACCUAAAAGCUUAAAGCAAAUGUGGGGGAUAUCUGGCCUGUGGUACUAUUUAGGUGAGCUAGGCCUCCCCACAUCUCAGCCACCUGGCCAUUUGGCCAUAGCCACAUCCUGGAUGUCAUGCACGACAUCAGGUGUGGGGACAGGUAAAGUUCCAACUGGCCCAAGAAGGAGUUUGCAGUUGCCACUGAUUCUUGGGGGCCUGAAGGGGGGUGCAGGGCUCCUGCAAGUACUGAUGAUCAGCUGACAUCAGAUGGGAUGGCUUCACUAGGGUGUCACUUUUGGGACUGGACUUGAAUUCAAAGUGUUUCCUCCAGCGUUACAUAACAACUAGAACUAUUCCAUAAAGAAGUUAGUCCUCCACAUGCAGCUGCUGGGUGAUCUUGGGCCAGUCACACUUCUUUGAAGUCUCUCAGCCCCACUCACCUCACAGAGUGUUUGUUGUGGGGGAGGAAGGGAAAGGAGAAUGUUAGCCGCUUUGAGACUCCUGAAGGGGAGUGAAAGGCGGGAUAUCAAAUCCAAACUCUUCUUCUUCUUCACUUCUCCAAACACACAGCAACAUACAAAAUGGAGAACACACACUGAUCAGGACAUGGAGGCCAUGUGCUCCUCCAUGCUAGUACAACAGACCACACCCUCUUCAAGUCACAUGUAGUGGAAGUCUGUCCCAGCUCAGGAAGAAACAGGAAGUCUUCUCCUGAAUGGUACAAAACAUCCCCUAACAUGUCCACUGUAGGAAUGUUGUACUUGACUGUAGUUUUACAUCCCACACUCCCUGUAAUCACCAAUCAGCUGACCCACUUUGAACUUUGGCAGUGGUCAAUUGCCUGAUAUCUUUUUUGCUUUGUUAGUAUUUUGUGCUCUCGUUUCAUAUUUUUAAGUGGUGAACCACCCAGUGAGCUUCGGAUGAAGGGUGGUACACAAAUUUUAAAAAUCAUCAUUAUGAUGUGAGGGGAUUGACAGGUGAGUAGUUCUGCACACCUAUCAAAGUUGACUAAUGGGCAGGGGUGUGGGGAGAUAAGGAUUUGAAACACUGAUUGGAAAGAGAAAGAGAAAUCUUAGCAGAACCUUUACCUUUACCUUUACAAUAAUCAAAGUUAGAGAUGAACUACU